GAGGGCUGGAACGUGCAGCCUGACACCUGCACCCUAGAAGUUUGUACACGGACAAGGCAGCCGCUCUUUCUUCUCAGCAGGGGCUUGGGAAACUCCUCCCUUCUCAACUCUCUCCCUCUCUAUAAGCUUAAUCAAGGCCACUGAGCUGAAGCCCCUGCAAAGUGAAAGUAACCUGCCUUGCCCGUAGUAGUUUUGCAUAGCUACGUGAGACAACUGCUUCUCACCGCCCCCGCCAUCCUCGCUUCCCCCUUCCUCCCUAUCCCCCCCUCCACCCCGUGCUGCUGGCUGGGGUGUUAGGGUGAAUCACUGUCCGACUCAGAUCCCUCUUGCCCAUUUUAGAGAAAGAAAGCUGAGGUAAAGAAAAGGGAGGUGAAAUUGAGGGAGUAAAGACACCAUAAUCUUGACAUGUGGCAAAGGAAUUGAAUUUGUAACUUUGUUUCAGCCAAAUCUAUUACAUUCCAGAAACUGAGCUACCAUGACUGCUAAGUAGGUACAUUUCAGUAUAUAUAUAGGACAUAUAGGGUCCCACACCCUUCUUCUCAAGUUCAGAUAAGUACGUUAACACAGCCAGGAACUGGAAACCAACAGAGAUGGGAUUUGAAGCCUGCUAUUCUGAGGCUGGAUUCUGGAAGUUUCCUCCAUCAGUGAACUACUGUCAAAGGGAAGGGCCCCACACACAAGGUAGCUGGAAGCAAGGAUUCCUCUGUGGAGCUGAAGGUGCAUGGGAAAACCCCCACCCAGGACAGCCAUCCAGUUUCCCUCAUGACUGAGUACUUGGUAGCCAGAGAAUGAUGGGCCCACUGCUUAGUUCUUAAAACUGCAGCAGACAGCAACACACCCCCACCUUGUCAACAACGUUUCAAUGAAAGUCACAGCCACAGGGUUCAGAGGUUCAGUCCAGUAUCAUCAAGGAGAGAACAUG